rnacentral:rRNA from 1 species
AUUGAACGCUGGCGGAAUGCUUUACACAUGCAAGUCGAACGGUAGCAGGUCUUCGGAUGCUGACGAGUGGCGAACGGGUGAGUAAUAUAUCGGAACGUGCCCAGUCGUGGGGGAUAACGUAGCGAAAGUUACGCUAAUACCGCAUACGAUCUAUGGAUGAAAGCGGGGGAUCGCAAGACCCCGCGCGAUUGGAGCGGCCGAUAUCAGAUUAGGUAGUUGGUGGGGUAAAGGCUCACCAAGCCAACGAUCUGUAGCUGGUCUGAGAGGACGACUAGCCACACUGGAACUGAGACACGGUCCAGACUCCUACGGGAGGCAGCAGUGGGAAUUUUGGACAAUGGACGCAAGUCUGAUCCAGCCAUUCCGCGUGCAGGAUGAAGGCCCUCGGGUUGUAAACUGCUUUUGUACGGAACGAAAAGGUCUCUCCUAAUACGAGGGGCUCAUGACGGUACCGUAAGAAUAAGCACCGGCUAACUACGUGCCAGCAGCCGCAGUAAUAC